rnacentral:rRNA from 1 species
AUUGAACGCUGGCGGCAGGCCUAACACAUGCAAGUCGAACGAGUGGCGGACGGGUGAGUAAUGUCUGGGAAACUGCCUGAUGGAGGGGGAUAACUACUGGAAACGGUAGCUAAUACCGCAUACCAUCGGAUGUGCCCAGAUGGGAUUGGCUUGUUGGUGGGGUAACGGCUCACCAAGGCGCCGAUCCCUAGCUGGUCUGAGAGGAUGACCAGCCACACUGGAACUGAGACACUGUCCAGACUCCUACGGUAGGCAGCAGUGGGGAAUAGUGCACAAUGGGCGAAAGCCUGAUCAAGCCAUGCCGCGUGUCUGAAGAAGGCCUUCGGGUUGUAAAGGAGUUUUGUUAGGGAAGCGGUACCUGAAGAAUAAGCACCGGCUAACUACGUGCCAGCAGCCGCGGUAAUUC